GACGAACGCUGGCGGCGUGCCUAACACAUGCAAGUCGAACGCAUUUUCGCACGGGUGAGUAACGCGUAGGUACCUGUCUCAUAGCGGGGGAUAACUCUUUUAAACGAUAGCUCAUACCGCAUACUGUGAGAUGGAACUGCGUGUUAUUAGGUAGUUGGUGUGGUAAAGGCUCACCAUGGCGACGAUACAUAGCCGAUCUGAGAGGGUGAUCGGCCACAAUGGGACUGAGACACGGCCCAGACUCCUACGGGAGGCAGCAGUGGGGAAUCUGCGGCAAUGGACGGAAGUCUGACGGAGCAACGCCGCGUGAGUGAUGAAGGUUUUCGGGUCGUAAAGCUCUGUUGUUAGGGAAGCGGUAACGAACCAGAAAGGGACGGCUAACUACGUGCCAGCAGCCGCGGUAAUUC
rnacentral:rRNA from 1 species